UGGGGUGUAGCCAAGUGGUAAGGCACCGGUUUUUGGUAUCGGCAUCGUAGGUUCGAACCCUACCACCCCAGCCA
rnacentral:tRNA from 1 species